rnacentral:rRNA from 1 species
GAUGAACGCUGGCGGCGUGCCUAAUACAUGCAAGUCGAGCGAACGGACGAUAAGCUUGCUUCUCUGAUGUUAGCGGCGGACGGGUGAGUAACACGUGGAUAACCUACCUAUAAGACUGGGAUAACUUCGGGAAACCGUAGCUAAUACCGGAUAAUAUUUUGAACCGCAUGGUUCAAAAGUGAAAGACGGUCUUGCUGUCACUUAUAGAUGGAUCCGCGCUGCAUUAGCUAGUUGGUAAGGUAACGGCCUACCAAGGCAACGAUGCAUAGCCGACCUGAGAGGGUGAUCAGCCACACUGGAACUGAGACACGGUCCAGACUCCUACGGGAGGCAGCAGUAGGGAAUCUUCCGCAAUGGGCGAAAGCCUGACGGAGCAACGCCGCGUGAGUGAUGAAGGUCUUCGGAUCGUAAAACUCUGUUAUUAGGGAAGAACAUAUGUGUAAGUAACUGUGCACAUCUUGACGGUACCUAAUCAGAAAGCCACGGCUAACUACGUG